UCGGGCAUUUGUGUUUUAUCUAAACAGUAGAAGAACCACUGAAGAGGUUCAAGCAGGGGCAAGGUGGAGGCAAAGUGGAGAGUGUGUGCCCAUUAGUCUGCUCGUGUUGGAAAGAGUUGGCUAGGGCAGUGGGGAAAAGGAGACUGUUGCAGUGUUCCAGGUGCUGUGCAGCCCAGCAAGAAUGAUGGGAAGUAGUCAGAGUGGAGAGGAGACUGGGGAGCUGUACCAGCAUGCUUCCCAGAAGGACCAGAAAGGAAGCAGGAGUUCUCUGGUCCUACACUGACAUAGUAACGACUGAGUAUGCUAGGCUUGUUGGCCAGUAAGCUUUGGGGAUCUACCUGUCUGCACCUCCCCAGCAGUUGGGUUUUAAACUCACCCAGCUUUUUAACAUGGGUUCUGAGGAUCCAAUUUCAGUCCUGCUUGUAAGGACUCCUGUGGAUGCCGGUGCUCUGUGAGUCAUAUCGCUUGUCAUCUGGGACAUCAGCGUCUCCUUGAUUUCUACUAAGUUUUCCUCUCGACAUCCUUGGAAUGCUCUGAUUUGUCACAGAAUGCAGAGCUUCGAGAAGGAAGGGGAAACGAACAGCACCAAGCAGCAGAGGGCUGAAAUAAGAUUCCUGGUUAGAUGCUGUGCUGGCUAGUUUUAUGUCAACUCGACACAAGCUGGAGUUAACUGAAAGGAGGAAACCUCAAUUGAGAAAAUGCCUCCAUAAGAUCCAACUGUAAGGCAUUAGUUAAA